AUUUGUCUUCGGGGCGGGGUGAAAGUCCCCACCGGCGGUAUAGUCCGCGAGCUGCUGCGGCAGCAGGAAUCGGCGCAAUUCCGGUACCGACAGUAUAGUCUGGAUGAGAGAAGGCGUGU
rfam:Firmicutes bacterium CAG:176 genomic scaffold, scf18